rnacentral:misc_RNA from 1 species
GGAAGCCUAAACCUUGGAAGCAUCCCCAGCCAAUAACAAAGACAGAUCUUGUGCGGAUGCGUGAUGAAUUUUGGGAUACUGCACCUCAUUAUGGUGGCAGAAAAGAGAUCUGGGAUGCACUUCGAGCUGCUGCAGAAGCUGAUCUGACGCUAGCACAAGCAAUCGUGGAUAGUGCAGGGGUCAUUGUACAAAGUGCUGAUUUAACCAUUUGUUAUGAUGAAAGAGGUGCAAAAUACGAAUUGCCUAAGUAUGUCUUGAGCGAACCAACCAACUUGAUUUGAAGUAAUAUGAGAGAGAGAUGAG